rnacentral:tRNA from 1 species
GCCGAUGUAGUUCAAUGGCAGAACAUCAGCUUCCCAAGCUGAUUCGAGGCGUUCAGGCGAGUCUGCUGCCGUCG